rnacentral:rRNA from 1 species
ACAGCAGUCGCCACGGUAAUACAGAGGGUGCGAGCGUUAAUCGGAUUUACUGGGCGUAAAGCGUGCGUAGGCGGCUUUUUAAGUCGGAUGUGAAAUCCCUGAGCUUAACUUAGGAAUUGCAUUCGAUACUGGGAAGCUAGAGUAUGGGAGAGGAUGGUAGAAUUCCAGGUGUAGCGGUGAAAUGCGUAGAGAUCUGGAGGAAUACCGAUGGCGAAGGCAGCCAUCUGGCCUAAUACUGACGCUGAGGUACGAAAGCAUGGGGAGCAAACAGGAUUAGAUACCCGAGUAGUCCCUGUCUCUUAUAA